GGCACUAAUAGUGGAUGCCUUGACAAUCAAUACCGAUGAAGGACGUAGAACUCUGCGAUAAGUCUUGGGGAGCUGAGAGCAAGCUUUGAUCCAGGAAUUUCCGAAUGGGGCAACCUAAUACGAGUCAUGUCGUAUUGCAAUUAUCUGAACACAUAGGGUAAUUAGACGGGAACCAACCGAACUGAAUCAUCUUAGUAGGUUGAGGAAAAGAGAAUAAACAAUGAUUCCGAAAGUAGUGGCGAGCGAAAUUGGAGCAGCCUAAACCUUAACAUAACCAUACGGUUUAACGGCCAGAGUUAUGAAAGGGGUUGCGAAAUAAGAUAAUUUUUAUGCUGAGGUAUUGGAAAUCCGAUAUUUCAGUAUAAAAACCAACAUCGUUAAAUGAGUGGAUAAUGUUAUAAAACUUAGAUCAUAGCGGAAGUGUUUGAAUGGCACACCAAAGAAGGUGAGAGUCCUGUAUGCGAAAUGGUCUUAGACAUUAUAUAUCUUUUUUCAAUUAGGACGGGGCACGAGAAACCCUGUUUGAAUCCGGCAGGACCACCUGCCAAGGCUAAAUAUAUUGAUUGAUCGAUAGCGAACUAGUACAGUGAUGGAAAGGUGAAAAGAACCCCGGGAGGGGAGUGAAAUAGAUCCUGAAACUUAGUGCCUACAAGGUGUCGGAGCAGCUUCGGCUGUGACGGCGUGCUUUUUGUAGAACGAUCCAGCGAGUUAAUGUUGUCGGCGAGGCUAAGUCAGAUGAUGGAGCCACAGUGAAAGCGAGCCUUAACAGGGCGACAAGUCGGCAGUAUUAGACCCGAAACCGGGUGACCUAACCAUGAGCAGGUUGAAGCUGCAGUAACAUGCAGUGGAGGACCGAACCAGGACACGCAGUAAAGUGUUUGGAUGACUUGUGGUUAGCGGUGAAAUGCCAAUCGAACUCGGAGAUAGCUGGUUCUCCUCGAAAUAGCUUUAGGGCUAGCGUCGUGUUAGUAGCACAUGGGGGUAGAGCUCUGUAAAGGACUGGGGCGGGCAACUGUACCCACCCUUAACAAACUACGAAUACCAUGUGUGUAAUCACGGCAGUUAGAACAUCGGUGCUAAGAUCGGUGCUCGAAAGGGAAACAGCCCAGACCAUCAUCUAAGGUCCCUAAAUUAACGUUCAGUGGGAAACAAGGUGAGAUUUCUUAAACAGCUAGGAUGUUGGCUUAGAAGCAGCCAUUCAUUUAAAGAGUGCGUAACAGCUCACUAGUCAAGAGAUUUUGCGUGGAAAAUGUAACGGGGCUAAAGUGUUAAACCGAAGACAUGGACUUCAUAUUUUAUGGAGUGGUAGAGGAGCGUUGAUAUCGCAGUGAAGUCAGAUUGUAAAGUCUGGUGGAGCGUUAUCAAGUGAGAAUGCUGGAAUCAGUAACCUUAAGACAGGUGAGAAUCCUGUCGGUCGUAAGAGCAAGGUUUCCAGGGCUACAGUAAUUGCCCCUGGGUUAGUCGGUCCUAAGCCGAGGCGUAUCAGCGUAGGCGAUGGACAACAGGUUAAUAUUCCUGUACAGGUAGUAGUUGUUAACAGUUCACGGUGAGUGACCAGAGCGGAUUAAUGGUUUAUCCGUCCAAGGUUUCAAGGAAUUGAAACUGAGUGAAAGAUAUUCUUCGGAAUAUUGAUUCUGGGUACAACGCUGGCUAGAAAAGCUGGUUAACUUAUGCUGCUGCCUACCGUACCGCAAACCAACACCGGUGCUCGGGUCGAGUAGACCAAGACCUACGUGAGAACCUUCGCUAAGGAACUCGGCAAAAAAGCGUCCGUAACUUCGGAAUAAGGACUGCCCUCUCAUUAAGAUGAGGAUUUGCUAGAAACUUGGUGGAAACAUAAGGUUAAUAGUAUUUACCUAAUAAUUUAACCAAAUUUUUCGUCAAGACAGAACACAUCAGGAAAUAUCCUGUGAUAUCUUUUCUAGUAACUCAAUCGUCAUUUUGAUGAGAGGGUCGCAGCUAAAGAGCCCACGGAACUGUUUAACAAAAACAUAGGUCUCUGCUAACGCGAAAGCGGAUGUAUAGGGGCUGACUCCUGCCCGGUGUCGGAAGGUUAAGGGGAGAGCUUUACGGUUCGAACUGAAGCCCCGAUGAACGGCGGCGAUAACUAUGAUCGUCCUAAGGUAGCGAAAUUCCUUGUCUGGUAAGUUCAGACCCGCACGAAUGGAGUAAUCAUGUGGGCACUGUCUCGGCGAAGGCCACGGUGAACGUGCAUUGGCGGUAAAGAUGCCGUCUGAUCAUGCCAGGACGAGAAGACCCCAUGGAGCUUUACUACAACUUUGCAUUGAUUAUUGGGACAUUUUGUGUAGAAUAGGUGGAAGACUUUGAAGCAGAUACGCUAGUAUUUGUGGAGUCGAAAUGUGAAAUACCACCCUGAAUGUUUUAGUAAUCUCACUUUUGACCUUAUCGGCCAAGAGGACCGUGCAUGGCGGGGAGUUUAACUGGGGC
rnacentral:rRNA from 1 species